GAUGAAGAACGCAGCGAAAUGCGAUAAGUAAUGUGAAUUGCAGAAUUCAGUGAAUCAUCGAAUCUUUGAACGCACAUUGCGCCCGCCAGUAUUCUGGCGGGCAUGCCUGUUCGAGCGUCAUUUCAACCAUCAAGCCGCAGGCUUGUGUUGGGGACCUGCGGCUGCCGCAGGCCCUGAAAACCAGUGGCGGGCUCGCUGUCACACCGGGCGUAGUAGAUUUUAUCUCGCUCAGGGCGUGCUGCGGGUUCCGGCCGUUAAAAAGCCUUUUUUACCCAAGGUUGACCUCGGAUCAGGUAGGAAGACCCGCUGAACUUAAGCAUAUCAAUAAGCGGAGGA
rnacentral:misc_RNA from 1 species